rnacentral:rRNA from 1 species
UACAGAGGUCCCAAGCGUUGUUCGGAUUCACUGGGCGUAAAGGGUGCGUAGGUGGUCGGGUAAGUCUGAUGUGAAAUCUCCGAGCUUAACUCGGAAACUGCAUCGGAUACUAUUCGGCUCGAGGGUUGGAGGGGGGACUGGAAUGCUUGGUGUAGCAGUGAAAUGCGUAGAUAUUGGGAAGAACACCGGUGGCGAAGGCGGCAACCUGGUCCUUGACUGACGCUGAGGCGCGAAAGCGUGGGGAGCAAACAGG